rnacentral:rRNA from 1 species
CCUACGGGAGGCAGCAGUGAGGAAUAUUGGUCAAUGGGCGCUAGCCUGAACCAGCCAAGUAGCGUGAAGGAUGACUGCCCUAUGGGUUGUAAACUUCUUUUAUAUGGGAAUAAAGUGCAGUAUGUAUACUGCUUUGCAUGUACUUUAUGAAUAAGGAUCGGCUAACUCCGUGCCAGCAGCCGCGGUAAUACGGAGGAUCCGAGCGUUAUCCGGAUUUAUUGGGUUUAAAGGGAGCGUAGGUGGGUUGUUAAGUCAGUUGUGAAAGUUUGCGGCUCAACCGUAAAAUUGCAGUUGAUACUGGCAGCCUUGAGUACAGUAGAGGUAGGCGGAAUUCGUGGUGUAGCGGUGAAAUGCUUAGAUAUCACGAAGAACUCCGAUUGCGAAGGCAGCCUGCUGAACUGUAACUGACGUUGAUGCUCGAAAGUGUGGGUAUCAAACAGGAUUAGAUACCCGAGUAGUC